rnacentral:misc_RNA from 1 species
GAUGAAGAACGUAGCGAAAUGCGAUAAGUAGUGUGAAUUGCAGAAUUCAGUGAAUCAUCGAAUCUUUGAACGCACAUUGCGGCCAUAGGUAUUCCUUUGGCCAUGCCUGUUCGAGCGUCAUUUACACCCUCAAGCCUAGCUUGGUGUUGGGCGUCUGUCCCGCCGUUUUCGCGCGCGGACUCGCCUCAAAGUCAUUGGCGGCGGUCGUGCCGGCCCCCUCGCGCAGCACAUUUGCGCUUCUCGGAGGCCCGGCGGAUCCGCGCUCCAGCAAGACCUUUCACGACUUGACCUCGGAUCAGGUAGGGAUACCCGCUGAACUUAAGCAUAUCAUAAGCGGAGGA